CAGGCCACCAGCAACCUGCCUUUCAAUUUCCCCACUGCCUCUGCCUCUGUUAUGUAACCUUAAACAAGUGAUUUUUUUUCCCUCUCUGUGUCUCAGUUACCUCAUGUAAAACUAGUGAGCUAGACAAGGUCAGCAUUUCUCCAACUGGGACCAUAGACUGCCUACAUUGGAAUCACCAGGACUGCUGUUCAGCAAUGUGACCACCUGGGCCUCUCUCCUGUCCUACUGAACCAUACUGUAUAGCAGGAAAGUAAGGAGGAAGUUCAGAGAGUAGGAGAGAUCCAGAGUCAAUAUUGUUAAUAACUUUUCAGAGACUCAGAUGGGGCUCCCCUGCCUUUAAGCAGGACCCCUAUUCCUCCAGAGAUCACCACCUGAGCGGAGACCAACCUGCGCCCAUCUUCUCGAUCCCCUGCUUCGCAUCCACCAUCAGUCUACGAAUUGACCCUACAUCCUUUAGGUCUCAACAGCUGACAUGGACAGUCCUACUCCAAGGCUUCAGAGACAAGCCUUGACACAGGAUCUAACUGCUUAUGACUUGGGGGAUUAGUACUCUCUUACAGUUGGAUAGAAGCCUUCCCUACUCAAGGGAAACUGCUGACACCGUCACCUCCAUCCUCAUUGAGCAGAUCAUUCCCAAGUUUGGACUUCCUAUCUCCAUCCAGUCUGACAACGAUCCGGCCUUCAUUUCUCAGGUUGUUCAACUAGUCUCCAAAGGCUUCAACAUCACUUGGAGGCUCCACAUCCCCCACCGACCCUAAUCCUCAGGGAUCUCCAGCUACUUGCUACCUCGGAGGACACCUAUCCCUUACAUGAAGGCCUCACUAACGGCUGAGGGAACUUCAUCACUGUGGAUACGGAGCUACAAAACGGAAACACAACUGGGGAACUUCACUAGCCUGUCACCCAGGGUUUCUAGGCCCAUUGGCUUUUGUGUGCCUCUUCCCGACCGCUGGUCUCUUCUCAGCCAGUCCCUCUCACUGGACUUCUGGCCAGAAGCUAAUGUGGUGUCUCCUCUUCCCUCUUCUUCUCCUUGCCUUCAGAUUUUGAAUCAGAAGAGCAGUCUCCCUUGCACUGAGUUCCUCCUGUGACCAGCGAGGAUGCAGCAAGUUCUUUCUCUGCUGAGCCCUCAGAGAUUCUUGUUGCUACUCCAAGUGGCCAAGAGAUGCACUAGCCAUGGGGACACAUGGUUACUGUUACCAGAGGCCCACAGAAAAAUAGGAGUUUCUGCCAAGAAGCCUAGCAACAGACCCUGGAAAAAUCUGAGGGGUCCAUGUCAUCCCCUCAUAUGCAGGUUCUCUCUAAGUUCUUGAAGAUACUUUAGCAAUGGCAGCCAGAGAGUGGAGGAAACCCAACAGUCUCUGAUCCUCGGCCCACCGCACUGGAGAAAAGGUUCCCAAUGCCCUUCUGGGCAGUUGAGAGGAUAUCACUUUUUCCUGGGAACCAGUGGAGGGGACCACCCAACAUUGCUCAUCAGCUUCCUAGGGACCAAAAAGCGCAGCACCAGUAUCAUGAAUCUAGUGAUGACAGUAAAAGGUGUUGAAACCCCAGCCAUGUCUAUUACAGCCAAACCUCCUUGGUUCCUGUUUUCCAAACCUGAUUCUG